rnacentral:ncRNA from 1 species
GGCCGGGGACGACCCCGGCUGUGUGUUCAAUGAAGGGACGGCCCU